GAUGAACGCUGGCGGCGUGCCUAAUACAUGCAAGUCGAGCGAACAGACGAGGAGCUUGCUCCUCUGACGUUAGCGGCGGACGGGUGAGUAACACGUGGAUAACCUACCUAUAAGACUGGGAUAACUUCGGGAAACCGGAGCUAAUACCGGAUAAUAUAUUGAACCGCAUGGUUCAAUAGUGAAAGACGGUUUUGCUGUCACUUCUAGAUGGAUCCGCGCCGCAUUAGCUAGUUGGUAAGGUAACGGCUUACCAAGGCAACGAUGCGUAGCCGACCUGAGAGGGUGAUCGGCCACACUGGAACUGAGACACGGUCCAGACUCCUACGGGAGGCAGCAGUAGGGAAUCUUACGCAAUGGGCGAAAGCCUGACGGAGCAACGCCGCGUGAGUGAUGAAGGUCUUCGGAUCGUAAAACUCUGUUAUUAGGGAAGAACAAAUGUGUAAGUAACUGUGCACGUCUUGACGGUACCUAAUCAGAAAGCCACGGCUAACUACGUG
rnacentral:rRNA from 1 species